rnacentral:antisense_RNA from 16 species
CACUGACAUUAAUGAUUCAUUCUGCGAACCAUGGCCAACAGCCAGAUAAGAGUGCAUGCCCAACUCUUUCAUUUGCUGUUCACCAAUCACGCGAGUGAUGAUGUUGGUGCUAAAUGCAUCGGCCAACUGGCGCGCUUGAGACGCCAGAUAGGCGGCAUUACAAAUAUUCGGCGGCAUGUUACCCAAAUCUUUCGC